UGCCCUGACCGGGAAUCGAACGGGACCUCCUGGUUCACAGGUCGAUGCUCCACCACUGAGCCGUGCCAGCUGGGCUCUCUCUCUCUCUCUCUGAGCCCACCCACCAUGCUGCGAGGAAGCCCAGGACACAUGGCCAAGCCCCAUGGAGCGUUCUAGCCCAUGCCCAGCUGCUGCUGUAUCAUCCACCUGCACAAUGAAAGAUGGAGAAGACACAGCUGGUUUUAAGAAUCUCCUAAGUCUGAUGGGGAAGACAGAACAGUGAUCAGAAGUUCAAGGACUGGGGGAGACCAGUGGGUGUCACCUACCCCAGUCUGGAGCCAGGGAGGAUUCCUGGAUGAGAUGUGGGCUGAUGUGGCCAGCACCUAGGCCUUCCCGGCAGAGUAGAUGCGUCAUACAGCCUGUCACGCAGUGUUAAUGUUUGCUGACUGUCAUUU